AUUGAACGCUGGCGGCAUGCCUUACACAUGCAAGUCGAACGGUAACAGGUCUUCGGAUGCUGACGAGUGGCGAACGGGUGAGUAAUACAUCGGAACGUGCCCGAUCGUGGGGGAUAACGGAGCGAAAGCUUUGCUAAUACCGCAGACGAUCUACGGAUGAAAGCAGGGGACCGCAAGGCCUUGCGCGGACGGAGCGGCCGAUGGCAGAUUAGGUAGUUGGUGGGAUAAAAGCUUACCAAGCCGACGAUCUGUAGCUGGUCUGAGAGGACGACCAGCCACACUGGGACUGAGACACGGCCCAGACUCCUACGGGAGGCAGCAGUGGGGAAUUUUGGACAAUGGGCGAAAGCCUGAUCCAGCCAUGCCGCGUGCAGGAUGAAGGCCUUCGGGUUGUAAACUGCUUUUGUACGGAACGAAAAGACUCUUUCUAAUAAAGAGGGUCCAUGACGGUACCGUAAGAAUAAGCACCGGCUAACUACGUG
rnacentral:rRNA from 1 species